CUGGCUCAGAACGAACGGCUGGCGGCAGGCUUAACACAUGCAAGUUGAACGGGAUUGUAUGGUGCUUGCACUAGACAAUGAGAGUAGCGCACUGGUGAGUAACACGUGGGAACGUGCCUUGAAGUGGGGGACAACAGUUGGAAACGACUGCUAAUACCGCAUACGCCCUGAGGGGGAAAGAUUUAUCGCUUCAAGAUCGGCCCGCGGAAGAUUAGGCAGUUGGUGGGGUAAAGGCCUACCAAACCUACGAUCUAUAGCUGGUCUGAGAGGACGAUCAGCCACAUUGGAACUGAGACACGGUCCAGACUCCUACGGGAGGCAGCAGUGAGGAAUAUUGGGCAAUGGAGGGAACUCUGACCCAAGCCAUGCCGCGUGAGUGAGAAGGUCUUCGGAUUGUAAAGCUCUUUCGGAUGGGACGAUGAUGACGGUACCAUCUAAAGAAGCCCCGGCAAACUUCGUGCCAGCCGCCGC
rnacentral:rRNA from 1 species